UCCUCCACCAACACACUGUGUGGACAAGCCCAUCACACCCAUCCACUUUCACAGCGCUCUCGCCUCCUGUAGACGAGAAUAACCAGUUAAUAACUCCUUACACUCCACUCAGAGCGCUUUACAGUAACGGGGACUCCCCUCCUCCACCACCAGUGUGCAUCCCCACCUGCAAGGGUAUACACUACAAGCAAUUCUCCUUUUGCUUUUAACUCGUUAACCGGCUAAGUCAUAAACAACCUUGCUUGCUACACUUGCAGAACACCAGGAAUGCACACCACGGACCGCGGCGAGGCGACCAGCCGCGCAGACCCACCGAGCGCAGGCUCGCUCACGACGACUUCGUGCGAGCGCGCAGCCACAUCCUGUCUGGCGGGUACGCGCAGGGCAAUCCGAGCCCGGCGGCGUGCUUUUGUAUCCAGGUGUGCGAAAGCCAAGCGGAUGCUGCCAUCGGGACCGCUGCAGGGGGAAUUCGCCGUCGCUGUACCAGCUCUGCAAAGAAUCCUCAGUUACUGUCUUCCAAAAUCACAAGGAAAAACCAGGAGUGACCCUGGGAAUUGGGGUUUAUUUACCUGCAGUGCCGUGCUGAGCUCAACAGCAGGUUAACACAUCCCCUGUGCGUGCUACCAGAGCAGACACGCCGUGUGAUGAUAACGCGUUUUCGGAGAUCCUUCCUGGGUGAACCUUCCUGAGCCUGUGGUGGGAAGCUUUCAAAUCCUCAAUGUCCCCAGGCUUGAACAUGUGGACAGAAGAAACGCAGCACCUGAAAGGCAAGUGUCAGUUCUUGUGUCUGGUAAAUUUAGACAAUUACAUGCCGAGAUCCCAACUCACAGAUAUCAAUAUCGCUGUGCAUUCUUUGGUGAGUCAGAGACAAAGUCACACUUUAUUGAUAUGAGAUAGGCUGUACCAGAGAGAGGAAGGGGAAGGAAAUCUUUUUAUAUCCUUUAAGCCAGCCAUGUGUUGCUGCUUUCUGCUCUAAUGCUAGAAUAAGCAGAGCCACA
rnacentral:lncRNA from 1 species